AUGUGUGUAUAUGUAUCUCGGGGAGACAAAACAUUGCCCUAACAUCGCCGUCUCUCGCUCCUCUCCGUUCAGCGCCCGGAUGCGGACCGGUGGCCGAUAUGGAUAUCACUGAGAUGAUGUAUGCACUCUGCUCUGACCAGGUUUAUGACAGAUGUGGCUUUGAAGGGCAUCUCUCUCUUUAUUCAUUUCAUCUGGUAUUGGUAAAAGCAUUGAAUUACUUCUAAGCCUUUCCACUUUGAAGCUGCCUGCUUUAGCUUUGUCGGACAAGGAAGGGUUUGGAUGUUGGGAAAGCUAGGAUUGAAGCAAGCGACUUUUAACGUGGUCGGUGGUCUUAAAGCUCCCAUGAUUUUAGGCAAUCUGAUUAAUUUAACACUUGUCAUUUCCAUCUCUCAACUACUUGGAAGUUGGGAGUUUGUUGUACACUUCCAAACUUCAUUAACCACUGCACUGUACCUUUGUUGAAAUAAGAUAAAGCUGAUAAGCCCCCGUCUUCCUGAUUUGUAAUUCACUAUGACCAUGAUAUUUCUUAAAAUAUAUAUAAGUAUUAAAAUAACAGGAUAGUAACAUUUUUUUUGUAGUCAGAGGUGUAAGAAGGAACUAGGUAGUGAUUAAUGUAACCUUUUUUUUUUUCUUUUUCUAAAACGCGAUUUGAUUGAUCGUUGUCCCUAUUAGGUUAAAAAAGGCUUGAAUGACUUUUCUGAAACGUGAUUUAGGUGACCCGUGUGCCUGUUAUGUUAAAACAAAGACUUGGAAAAGAUAUAACGAUAAAUUUAGUCUCAUCGGAAGAUGUAAUUGAAGUGAGGUAUCUUUCACAUAGUGUUUGGUAUGUAAUAGUUAAUAGUCCUUCAUUUGACACAUCCUUGAAUAGUAUAAAUUAAUAAAUUUUAAACCGACUCAUUUCUUGGAACCAAGCAACAACAAUAAAGCUCUUACUACAGAACAAAACUUUGAAAAGUCAUCAUUAAAUAUCUAAGAUCAUAUACAACUUGACAUGUACUUGCAAAUAAAAGAUAAAUAAAUAAUAAAAGUGAUACCAACAAGUAAGUACAUUAAAUAAAUACAGUUUUGGGAGGGGGCGGGGACAUUUAUAUAAACAUAAGUUAUCUAUUAUUCCUAGAAAAAGAACUAAAUACACCAAAAGAUCAAGAAAGUAUAUAAAAGAUAAAAAAGAAAUUGACUGGGGACAGCGGAGCCCUGAAUGGGCGCUGCCUUGAUGAUGGGAGAUGAGAUUUGGGACCCAGAUUGGGGACAAGGGUUGUGGCCUCCUUUGAUUGUGUCAAUUUGAUGAAUCUUUCAAAGUCGUGGUCAAGAUUUCUAGUGCCCAAAAGGCAAAAGGGUGGAUGGUCUGAUCUCUCUCUCUCACACACACACACACACUCUCUCUCUCCCCCCAAGAGGAGGAGGUUGAAUGGGGGUGGGGUCUGAUUGGUCAGUUAUCUUCGCCUAUAGUUAGGUCCAAAGAUGAGCCUCAACCUCACCUACUGCCAUUGCAUAUGAUAUGUACCCUUUAAUUGGACAAAUUAUUGCAGGCCACCCUACCCUUAUCUGCACACCCCCCUCAUCCUUCAAUGUUUUUGACAUCACCCCCUCCUACUUUUCAUUAUUUAACUUUUGAAAAGCAGAAGAAAUAAUAUUAUAUAUAUACACACCCCCUUCCCCAAUUAAUUAAUUGAUUGAUUAUAUAUAUAUAUAUAUAUAUAUAUAGCUAAGGGA